rnacentral:rRNA from 1 species
AAUCAACGCUGGCGGCGUGCCUAACACAUGCAAGUCGAACGCGAAAAGGGGGCAACCCUGAGUAGAGUGGCGUCCGGGUGAGUAACACGUGGAUAAUCUGCCUGCGGGCGGGGAAUAACUUUCCGAAAGGGGAGGCUAAUACCGCAUAACACCGUAAUAGGGCAUCCUGAUACGGUCAAAGAGGGGAGUCGCAAGACCUCUCGCCUGCAGAGGAGUCCGCGGCCGAUUAGCUAGUUGGCGAGGUAACGGCUCACCAAGGCAGCGAUCGGUAGCCGGCCUGAGAGGGCGAACGGCCACACUGGCACUG